GCCUACUUAUUUUCUUUCUCUUCAUUCUAUUCCAGUGGAGGUGGUCGAUUGAGAAGCUACAGAGAGAUUUUCUUUGGAGUGGCAUUGAUAAGAUGUACUUUUAUACAUUGCUAAAAGUAUAAUCAAACUUAGCUAAUCAGAGUUGUUAGAUUGCUGAAUAAAUUGUCAAUCUUUGAUGUUUAUCAAUGCCACCUCCAAGAGGGCUAAGACCUUGGGAAUGGUUGAAUUCCCAAUACUAGGCCGCAUCAGUAAACUUGCUAUUUCCUGGGAUUCUUUGAUUUGGUUUUGAUUAUGGAAUCUAUAGCAAUGUAUAGAUCUUCUGAAGUUGGAUAUGUGACUAUUAUGUACCUCUCUACAAGAUCUAAAUGAAGCUACAAGAAAGUUGAUUUGGAAGAUAGUAUAUGACAAGGCUUUGCAUCUACUACGUUAAUAGAUAUGGUCUUUUCCAUAUUUCAAUUUCCUUUGAUUGAUAUGGAUUAAAAUUCAGAUUGAAAUUGGUUUAAAUAGAACAGAGCCUCAAAGUUGAGUUUUUAUUAUAUUGUUUCAUUGUUUGCUCUGUUU